rnacentral:misc_RNA from 1 species
UACAUGCUUUAUUUGUGUCGUGAUCAGACAAACAGCUAAUUACAGUUGGUGAUCAAUACACUGUGACAUACGGCAUAUCAGUCCCACGCAGACAAGUUAGCUUAACUCAGUAUGGGACAAAUAAUAACAUGUGCAUAAAUUAACCAAGUUGACUCCACACUGCUAGCGGUAUGGGCCAUUACCCCGCAGCAUUCUCUCGGCAACGGAGGAUGGACGUGAAUCGAUAGCCAUUCUAUUCAGGGGUGACAGAUCGUCACCUUACAUCAAAGAUAAUUAGUGCUGCAUCACGGUCCAUUGUCACAGAUGUUCUUGGCGACUACAUACAGUGGGAGCUCGGUCACCUGUUGACCUUCGAUUGAGAAGGCGUAACCAUCUAGCCCUGACCCCCGUGGGAUCAGCUACUUGUCUGUUAUUAGCUGUGUAAAAAUAGUGAACGGUCCCAAGGUCACGUUUGACAGCUCACCUGCGAAGCAUGUUAGUAAAUAGACGCGUUCUAACUCUGUGUGUUCUCUAGUAUGCUCACUGCUCAGUGUGUGCUGAGCAAAUUGUAGGAUUUUGUCGGCUGUUUGGCAUUGACACGAUGCCCUACUUCGGACUCGGCUGAUUGAGGCCUCCUUACUUCCCACAGUGACAGACAGACUGCACAGUUCCUUGUUGGAUCAGGACAGGGCUAUAAAGACACUCGCUACCUCCCUCAUCACAUUCCAGUCUCAUCUCUGUCACCGGACACACCACUCACACUGGACCCUGCUCCUGCAUUCAAGGAUUAUUAUAAAUCUGAAUAUAUAUUGAAGUUUUUUUAUUCAAAAAUUUUAAAAGCAGAUUAAAAUUUGAAAUUAUUUCAAAUUCUUCUGUUUGGAUCGCUUUCCCUACAGCCAACAAAAUGCUGAUUCAAAAUGGAUGUUAUAUGCAAAGCCCAGGGUAUUACCAUGACCCCAUGUACGUACCCCUGGGCACCCAGGCACCUCUUCAAAUGGAUGAUUAUUACGCUAGAGUGCCCUCCACAACUCCAGCACAGUACCAGUAUCAGACUUACCCGCAGAGGCCCACGACAGCCGGGUAUGACUGUGCCUGUCCCGCUGUGCCACCCCAACAAAGUCUACUGCACCAAAUUUUGACUGGGAAAGGAUAUAAAAAUGAUGUUUUGUGUAUGGGACAGAUGAUCAAGAUGGAGGCAUAUCCUGACUUCCCUAGUCAGAACUGUUGUUAUUCUAAUAUACUUCAUGACGGAUUUGCAGCUUAUCCUCACAUGCAUCGAUACUAAGGGUUCAUUUCCAAGAACAGACUUUGCUUUCAAAGUGUACUUUCCGGCCAGCAAGGAGAUUCAAGACAGCAAGAUACAGGACUAGCAGCA